CAUCCUCCAAGGCUAAAUACUCCUGACUGACCGAUAGUGAACCAGUACCGUGAGGGAAAGGCGAAAAGAACCCCGGCGAGGGGAGUGAAAAAGAACCUGAAACCGUGUACGUACAAGCAGUGGGAGCACAGGUUUACCUGUGUGACUGCGUACCUUUUGUAUAAUGGGUCAGCGACUUAUAUUCUGUAGCAAGGUUAACCGUAUAGGGGAGCCGUAGGGAAACCGAGUCUUAACCGGGCGUUAAGUUGCAGGGUAUAGACCCGAAACCCGGUGAUCUAGCCAUGGGCAGGUUGAAGGUUGGGUAACACUAACUGGAGGACCGAACCGACUAAUGUUGAAAAAUUAGCGGAUGACCUGUGGCUGGGGGUGAAAGGCCAAUCAAACCGGGAGAUAGCUGGUUCUCCCCGAAAGCUAUUUAGGUAGCGCCUCGUGAAUUCAUCUCCGGGGGUAGAGCACUGUUUCGGCUAGGGGGCCAUCCCGGCUUACCAACCCGAUGCAAACUGCGAAUACCGGAGAAUGUUAUCACGGGAGACACACGGCGGGUGCUAACGUCCGUCGUGAA
rnacentral:rRNA from 1 species